CGAUUCUAAUAAUUUUAAGGUUUUCACUUGGUUUCUGAUCUAAAUAUGCAAAACGCUAAUGGUGAUUUUAAGGUUAAUUUCUUUAUUGUUUGUUAAUAUUUACAGAUUCUGAUUUGUUUCUCCAUUGAAUUCUUUACUGAUUCCAUUGUUUUUUUUAUGUUUUAGAUGUGAUUUCUGUAUAUUAUUUGUGAUUUCAAGGUUUUAUUGGUCUUAUAUUUAAAACCCCUGUUUUUUUAUGUUUUAGAUGCGAUUUUUUAUAUCAUGUGUGUUUAUAAUACUUAAUUGGGCAUAUCUUUGAAAACCCCGAUUUUAGAUGUCUACUAUAGAAAUUAUGUUUAUCGCUCUCAUUGUCUGGUCUUUCACAACAGACUUACAUGUCUGUUUUGCUGGUAUUAACCAUAAAACAGCAGCAAAAAAGGGAGAAGAGGUAUGGCAAUCGAAGUUGAGUUCAGUGGCUCUACGAUUCGGGUUAAUUGGUAAGUUGUGACUAGCAUUUUUGUUCUUCCCAGUGACUCGAGGAUCGUCUAUAUUGUCGCUAAUCGUGAUAACUUCUUCCAUUGGAAUAAAUGUGGUUUCUUUAGAACAAUUGGUUAAAGUAUUAUACGGGCGACUUUCUAAAAAGGUUUAAACUAAAAAAACAAUAUAAAUGUAUAGCCAUACCUGACGGGUAAUAUGUCGGGUGGGACAAGAUUUUACCAUCGGGUAUGGGUUUUGGAUUAGUCAUAUCCGAUCUAUUUCCAUCACCGCUACAUAUGUUCGAUGUAAUGAGUGUUACAUGUCAAAUAAUCGAAGGGGUAUUUUGUAAUUGUAGCAUAGUAUGAGGGUUGCUAUUAAUGUAAGUUGAAAUAUAAACGUUUACUUAAACAAUAGGAAGAAGAGAAUGAACUAUCGAUGAAUUGAGCAACAAUGAGUAACGAUUCAACGAUAAAACUGGUGUAAGUGAUCCUGUGUUUCAACCUUUUUCUACUCAUUAGUGAUAAAUAACAAAAAAGGUUUUGGCUCACAAUAUUCUCCUAAUAUCACAAUAUUUGAGCUUGCACAUAAGGUGUUUGAUAGAAUACCUGAAAGAAAUUUUGAAUUUGGGUCUGUGUGUUAUGAAGAGUUUAGAAACAAAAUAAAAAGUUCAAUGGAUGAUGAUGCUAUAGUCAUUUAUUAAAUUUGUUAUCAUUGUUUCAUGUACACUUGUAAUGAUAUAAAUAAAGCAUUUUAUACUAAAAUGAAACAGGGAAAUAUGAUGUUAAUGGUUGAUUUUGAAGGUUUGUUUUCAUGAUAUGUUCAAUGUAAUGAGUAAAUGAUACAUUGUUUAAAUCCAAUUUUUUGCAAGGUUUCUAAAUCUGUUAAAUGCAAUUGUUUUUAAUAUAUUUAGUUUUACUUUGAACCUCGCUUCUAUGUUUAAGGGCAGACCGGAGCAGAACUCUUAGAUCUUUUUUUGGAAGGAAUGUUGGUUGGUGGAGGAACCUCUGUGUUGUAGGUUUCCUAAUCUGUUCCAGACUCGAAAAGGCAAAAAUGUUGUAGUUGGGGAUCGGGUUUCAGUGUCAAACGGGUCGGUAAAUCUGAAUUUUCAAUGGAGUCGGCUUCCGAUCACUCAGGUAGAACAAGUGGAAUGGAACUAGCUUUCCAGCGCCCUUUUCUCAGCUUCUUUUGGUUCGGCCUCGGAUGUCUGGGCUUGGGGUUUAGAUAGCUCGGGUGCCUUUUCAGUAAAAAGUUUGAGAAACAAGAUCGAAGCUAAGGUUUUUGAGGACAGGGGUCUCACCAUCUCGGGUUUACCUGGAAUAAGUGGGCACCUCUAAAAGUGUGUUUUUGUAAAACAUGGUUGAGAUGAAUGGAUGAUCUUGAGAUCCAAGAAUUAAAAAGUUUGCAGGUUCUUAGGGUUUUGCACAGAGAUACCACAUCUUUGUGUUCAUAUAUUGCUUUCUACAAACUAUUGAUCAAUCUCUGUAACAAGUUGUUAACACUCGCCAACUUCUUUUUCUACUUAAGUAUAUUUCAUCACAACGUGCGUUUAUGGAAAAUUGGAGAGCGAGUCAGAAGAUCUGAUCAAGUGAAGACAUUGGACUUGUGAAUCCCACAAAGGAGGUUAGUUUAGCCCGGAGAUGGUUAUUCGGUUAGACUACAUGUAUAGAAUAGUUUUAUAAUGUUUAUGUUGUGGUUAUUGUGUUUUAUAAGUGAACGGGUUGGUUAAUGUUAUGUUUUAUCUCUAACAUGUCAAUAGCUAGAAUAAAAUACGAAUUACAUCUAGAAACCGGGUUGAAGAUUACACAAUACAAUUUUACUUAUUCGACAUAUUUUUAGAUAUGGAACGAGUCAAUUUUGAGUACAUGACAUCAUUGGAAGGGUUGAUGAGAAGAGGUAUGGAGAGAUUGUUCAUGGGAUAAGAACUUGAGGAAUCAUUGUACUAAUCUACAUAAUAAGAAUUAAAAAGUUAUUAGCUUUACACGAAAACUAUGAAUACACAUGGAUACAAAGAUAGGAUACUGAUGAAACCGAACAAAUAAAUUAUUGUGUGAAGGGAAAGAAGAUGCUAAUGAGUUUGAAAAUGUUUGUUUAUGUACUUCUUAUUAUUGAAAACUAAUUUUUCCUAGCCCGGGAUGUUCCCAGGUGAUGCACUAUGUAGGUUUUAUAUAUUUUCAGACAAAUCAACAGAGAUUGUGAGUUUCUGGAAGGCGUUAGAAUAAUGGAUUAUAGUCUUUUAGUUGGCAUGCACUUCCGUGAUGAUAAUACAUGCGACAAAAUAGGAUCAUUUCCGUUUCUGCUGCGGAAUGG